CGCAAAAUAAUUUUAUUUGUUAACAGCCGUUAACCACCGAAAAAGCCUCCCGCCGCUUCUCAAUAAAGCUAUAACCACUACUUUGCCGCCGUGGAAAAUUAACCUUCGGAAAUCCAAAAAUGGCAUCAUCCAGUGCGCUCUCGCAGCCCAACAAUUUGAAUUCACGAGUCGUUAUCUCUACUGUCCAUGAAAAUGCAUUUCGCAGAAGAAAUGCAAGAUUUCGAAUGGCAGCGUCAAGUAAUAGUGGAAGUGGAGAAGUGGCAGUGACAUUCGAGGAGGGACAGUUGGAAAGACCUAAAUGGACUGGUGAAACCCCAGUUUCUCGCUUUGUUGGAGCUCUCAUUUCCUUCAAACCUUUAUAUUCCGUACUCAAACUCGGUGCAAGACAAGUCCUCAUCAGGUCAAUUUAUACUGCAUUGGCUAGCGUUUAUAUGUCGUGUGUGUGUGUGUGUGUGUCCCCCCCCCCCCGGAUUUUUAAGAUUAUGGGUUUGAAUUAUUAGGUGUUGAUUUCAUUUUGAUGGAAAAAAAUGAAAUUUGGAUUUGGGUUGGAACAGUACAGCUGAAAAAACCAACAUUCCGUGGAGGGAAAUGACAAAGGAGGUUUUGGAAUCGGAUGUGUACAGGAAGCUGGAGACCAUUGAGGACGUCUCAAUUGUGUAUCCUGAUUGUAAUUUUUAAAAUUUUUAAAAUUUUCUUUAUUCGUGUUUUCACAGUUCUAUUGGAUUCAAGUAAAUAAAUUUCAUUCACAUGAUCAUAUUCAAGUUUAGUAAUGGAUAAUGCCAAAAUGGACUUCUCUAUCUUUUCAUGUAUUGAUAUCAGAAUUUUAUCUCCUGAAUGUGGUUAUAUUUCUUUUCUUUUCUAAACACAAACUUCUAAGUUUUCACUUGAGAUCUUCUUAUGUCUCUUGUGCGUUAAAAGCUAUGAGAUGAUUCAUUAUGUCUGUUGAGAUUUAGAUUUAAUGAUAACGCAGUAUAUUUUUGUUGUUUCUUUGUGUGCCUUGUGUUAAAAUCAUAGAGAAUCUUGAUUUGACAUUGGGAAAGAAAAUUGUUGACUCGCUUUAAUUUUACUGAAAAAUGCUUAUCAUAGUUUCACGUUAACAGUCCAUUUUAACUUACUAAAAUAAUCCCUGGUUAUAAAUUUUACCCCAACUACUAAACAGCGUGCAGCAUAUAGUUAUUCUAUUUGACAACUCAUAUUGAUGCUUAAGUAGUUAUGAGAAUCUCAGAGUAAUCAGUCUUAGCUAUUUGCUAGUGAAGAGAUAGUCAUAUAUUCAUUAUUUUAAUAUGAUAUAAAAUUAUGAAGUAAAAUGAUAUGAUACUGAGGCAAAUGGGACAUAACCUAUGUACAUUAGUAAAAUCUAUUUGAAAUAUAUAUGCUGUGAGAAUUUCCAUAUGGAAGUGUGCCACUAAGGACAUAACUCUUACAUCGUUCGAAGUUCAAAUAGGAAGAAAACAUCCUGACAGCUCGCUUUUUAUUUAGCUUUUUUACUAUGAAAAUGCAAUUUCAUAUCCUUCUCAUAUUUCAGCUGUUCUAAAACGAAAGGAGAAAUGGAAAAAUUAUUGAAGAGAAUCCUCUCAGAAUCUACAAGUUAAGCUUCAAUAUAAUUGGCACUCAUAAACUAGCAUCUUAUUUUUUACCUGGAUUUUGUUAAUUGGAAAUUUGAAAGGAUUUUAAUGGCGUCUAGAUUUAUUUAUGCAGAUUAUCUCAAUCCAUUUCAUGCAUAUGAUGAGGGAAACCUUUCUUGGCUGGUAAUUGGUGAAUGAUUCUUCUCCUGUAAACUAUUUAUCUGCUUUGAUAUACUCCUGUCUAUUUCAAAUCAUUCAACAGCUUCUUUUAUUCUUCUCUUUUUUCGAUUGAUAAUGCCCAAUGGGAUUGGGGUCAAGAAGGUCAAGAAUAUCAUUAUUUUACUUGUACUUUUGUAAUACUUCAGAGUCACAAAGCAACUUUUGUUGUUAUGUAUGGUUUUCUUUAGAAAAAAAAUGCUUGACCUCUUGUAAUUGACUUCUUGAGAAAACCAAGAAUAUAAACAAGAUUUAUUUUAGUAAUAAUUUUAAGAAAACCAAGAAUAUAAACAAGAUUUAUUUUAGUAAUAAUUUUAAGAAGUUAUUCUGUUUUAAAAUGAUGUAUCUGCAACAGGCAGCAGCAGAAGCAGAACCUGCAACUAUGUCAAUGGUGAGACGAGCGAUACCUUAUGCUUCUUCGCUUGAUGAAGCAAAUCAAAUAGUCCGUGGAAAUUGGCUUCAGGCUAUCGAAAGUCAUCAUCAGAAACAUUCAGGAAACUCCUCAAUUAGUGACAUUAUUGACAUUGGAUGCUCUGUUGGAGUGAGCACAAACUUUCUUGCUGACAAAUUUCCAUCUGCCAAGAUUACUGUAAGUAUGAAUUAUGUGUAUACCAUUUCAAGCAUGCCACGAUUUCUGUAGAUAUUGGACUGCUGGCAACAAUAAGGAUUAACGUAAUGGGCAAACUCAAUGAAUUGUAGUUCUCGUAUCAGACGUGAUUUCAUUGUUGGUGCUUUACCCAGAUUUCUGUGUGAUGUCCAUCCUGGGUCAUACUUAUUGGUCUUUGGUCUGCAUCUUCUGCAGGGACUGGAUUUAUCACCUUACUUUCUUGCUGUUGCUCAAUUUAAGGAAAAGAGAAGCAACCAGAGAAAAGAUCCAAUCAGGUGGAUACAUGGAAAUGGUGAAAACACAGGCUUGCCUUCAAAAUCUUUUGACCUUGUCUCAGUUGCUUAUGUGGUAUGUUGUGUUUUCUUGAAAACUUAAAAACUAAAUUACAUUUGUAAUUAGCUUUCAAGAGAAACUCAAUGCAGAUAUGACUAAUACAAGCCCCCCCCCCCCCCCCCCCCCAACAAAUAUUGUAUUAUUAUUUUUAUAUGAAACACAUCAAUUUUUCUUUUGUUGAGUGAUGAUGCGAUUGAAAGGAUAUGAACAUAGAAAAGAUAUGAAAUGAGAGAUGAUUUAAUUUUCUAUUAUUGAAACGUAAUCCUGCUUAUAGUUUUUUUGCCCAAUCCAUGCUAACUUUGGAUAGAAAAUUCUUCCUAUGGCAAUUUGUUGAAAAUCAUAUUCUCACGUCCACUAACAUGGCUAUUUCCUUGAAUAAAUUCAGGAAAUGAGUAUUGUGCAGAGAAUCUUAUUACACUAGCAAGGGAAGAUUUACAUCAAUAUAAAUCUUGUGAUAUUCAUGUUUUGACUUUUACUAUUGGCGCUUCGGUAAUUGGCUAAUUUGGAAGCUAGAAUAUCUCGUACAGUAAGAAAAUAUGCCAUACUAAAAGUUUCUCCUUGGUCAGAGUAUGAACUCCAUCUGAAGAAUAACGGAAAGGAAACUUCCCUAUCAGGAUAUGGUCAAGCUUUCCAUAUUAUUUUCAUUGACUUGUGGAAAAAAGAUAUUUUACGUGCAUGUUAUCAUUUACAUGGUUUGAUCCGUCUCAUAACAAAAGAAGUGGAUAAAUUGCUAUAAUUGAGUUAAAAAAGAAAAAAGAAAAAAAAGAAAAAACAACUUGUAAAAGUAGUUAUAGUACUUGUCUUUCCUUGAGUGGUAAAAGUAGGACGUCAACCUUAUAUGUUAACACAAGGGGUUGAAGUCUAGAAUAGGGAAGAAAACGGGCUCUACUUAUAAUUUUUUCCAACUCCAUGUAUUUAUUGAUAGUGGUUGGCUAUGAGAUCUUAUGGAACAACGUUCGUAGCUUGAUUCUUGGCAGCUUUUGGAGACCUUUUUUAAAGCAUGUAUUCCUUUCCCUGACUCUGUUGUGCUGUUGCAGUUUCACGAGUGCCCUGAAAGAGCAAUUAAAAAUAUAGUGAAGGAAGCAUUUCGGCUUCUUCGACCUGGAGGCACUUUUGCUGUGACUGAUAACUCGGUAAAUAGCUUUAGAAUAUUGCAAAUAGUGUUCAUCUUUUAUAUAAUGUAAUAAUAUAUCAUACCAGACCAUUUCUUACAUUACUUUCCUUUUGUUCUCUUUUGCAGCCAAAAUCAAAGAUUCUUCAGGUAUGUUUUGUUUGUUGCUUUGUCAAGUUUUCUUUUGGCUUUUCUUCAUCAUGUGAUCAAGCUUUCCAUUAUCACUCAUGAUGAAAACAUCUGGAUCUCGCUUUUCUAUAUUCUUAGACCAAAAGGGAACAAUGGUCGGAAGAUGGUGACAUUUUGGAAACAUUGCGUAAACCUGAAAAUAUUUAAUCAUGGGAGCAUCAGCAACCUUUUAUGAAUGGAAUAUGAAAUCCUUACAGUUCUAGACUAACUGAGUUAGCGUCCUUAAUGUUCACGUAUUACAGGAACUAUCACCGGUGUUAUUUACAUUGAUGAAGAGCACUGAACCUUUUCUGGACGAAUACUACCUUACGGAUCUUGAAGGUAGCAUGCGAGAAAUUGGUUUUGUCAACGUGCAGACUAUUAUGACAGAUCCAAGACACAGAACUGUAACUGCCACUGUGCCUUACUGAUAUGUGUCAUCCUCUUGAGUGUGCUCAUGGAGAUCAUGAAACCAUUAUAGGAACAAGAAAUUUCUUGAAUUCAUGCCCUAAUAUUUUAUGUACACACUUGCAUAUUGCAAGUAUAGAUUGACGAGAAAAUGUUAAUUUUGUAACGAGGCAGAAAUGCUGGUGGAGAAUAGUUCGAUGCAAUGUCAGUUUCUGAUGAAAGAAAGUUUUCAUAUUAUACAAAGUUCAAGGGCUUUCGCUCAACACGGAGGUAUAUAAACCUCCAGGUUAGGGGGACCGAGUUCCAUCGGAUGUUGGGUGUAUAGCGGACAUCAUGCAGGCUCAAGGUUUGGCCAUGAUGCAUGACUAAUUUGCAGGGACAAUAACUUUGAACCUCAACUUGCAAGUUAUUGCCUACUUAAAUCCAUCCGCUUCCUUUAAAAGUUGACCUUAUUUCACAUAUAUAUUUAUUAGAAAUUUCAAAUAAGAUUAUUUGUUACGGGGAAUGCUCUUACA
rnacentral:lncRNA from 1 species